rnacentral:sRNA from 1 species
UGCUUGAUAGGAGAUACCUUAGUACGAG